rnacentral:rRNA from 1 species
UACGUAGGGUGCAAGCGUUGUCCGGAAUUAAUGGGCGUAAAGAGCUCGUAGGCGGUCUGUCGCGUCGGCUGUGAAAACCCGAGGCUCAACCUCGGGCCUGCAGUCGAUACGGGCAAACUAGAGUACUGCAGGGGAGACUGGAAUUCCUGGUGUAGCGGUGAAAUGCGCAGAUAUCAGGAGGAACACCGGUGGCGAAGGCGGGUCUCUGGGCAGUAACUGACGCUGAGACGCGAAAGCGUGGGGAGCAAACAGG